rnacentral:rRNA from 1 species
UACAGAGGUCUCAAGCGUUGUUCGGAUUCAUUGGGCGUAAAGGGUGCGUAGGCGGCGCGGUAAGUCGGGUGUGAAAUCUCGGGGCUUAACUCCGAAACUGCAUUCGAUACUGCCGUGCUUGAGGACUGGAGAGGAGACUGGAAUUUACGGUGUAGCGGUGAAAUGCGUAGAUAUCGUAAGGAAGACCAGUGGCGAAGGCGGGUCUCUUGGACAGUUCCU